rnacentral:rRNA from 1 species
CCUACGGGUGGCAGCAGUGAGGAAUAUUGGUCAAUGGCCGCAAGCCUGAACCAGCCAAGUAGCGUGAGGGAUGACUGCCCUAAGCGUUGUAAACUUCUUUUGUAGAGGCAUAACAUGAGGCACUUGUCCCUUUUUGUAUGUACUUUAUGAAUAAGGAUCGGCUAACUCUGUGCCAGCCGCCGCGGGAAUACGGAGGAUACGAGCGUUAUCCGGAUUUAUUGGGUUUAAAGGGAGCGUAGAUGGGUUGGUAAGGCAGUUGUGAAAGUUUGAGGCGCAACCGCAAAAUUGCAAUUGAUACUGGCAGUCUUGAGUACAGCUGAGGGAGGCGGAAUUCGUGGUGUAGCGGUGAAAUGCGUAGAUAUCACGAAGAACUCCGAUUGCGAAGGCAGCUUACCAAACUGCCACUGACAUUGAGGCUCGAAAGUGUGGGGAUCAAACAGGAUUAGAUACCCUUGUAGUC